rnacentral:rRNA from 1 species
GACGAACGCUGGCGGCGUGCUUAACACAUGCAAGUCGAACGGAAAGGCCCUGCUUUUGUGGGGUGCUCGAGUGGCGAACGGGUGAGUAACACGUGAGUAACCUGCCCUUGACUUUGGGAUAACUUCAGGAAACUGGGGCUAAUACCGGAUAGGAGCUCCUGCUGCAUGGUGGGGGUUGGAAAGUUUCGGCGGUUGGGGAUGGACUCGCGGCUUAUCAGCUUGUUGGUGGGGUAGUGGCUUACCAAGGCUUUGACGGGUAGCCGGCCUGAGAGGGUGACCGGCCACAUUGGGACUGAGAUACGGCCCAGACUCCUACGGGAGGCAGCAGUGGGGAAUAUUGCACAAUGGGCGGAAGCCUGAUGCAGCAACGCCGCGUGCGGGAUGACGGCCUUCGGGUUGUAAACCGCUUUCGCCUGUGACGAAGCGUGAGUGACGGUAAUGGGUAAAGAAGCACCGGCUAACUACGUGCCAGCAGCCGCGGUGAUACGUAGGGUGCGAGCGUUGUCCGGAUUUAUUGGGCGUAAAGGGCUCGUAGGUGGUUGAUCGCGUCGGAAGUGUAAUCUUGGGGCUUAACCCUGAGCGUGCUUUCGAUACGGGUUGACUUGAGGAAGGUAGGGGAGAAUGGAAUUCCUGGUGGAGCGGGGAAUGCGCAGAUAUCAGGAGGAACACCAGUGGCGAAGGCGGUUCUCUGGGCCUUUCCUGACGCGGAGGAGGGAAAGCGGGGGGAGCAAAAAGGCUUAGAUACCCUGGUAGUCCCCCUGUAAACGGUGGGUACUAAGUGUGGGGUCCAUUCCACGGGUUCCCCGCCGAAGCUAACGCUUUAAGUACCCCGCCUGGGGAGUACGGCCGCAAGGGUAAAACUCAAAGGAAUUGACGGGGCCCCGCGCAAGCGGCGGAGCAUGCGGAUUAAUUCGAUGCAACGCGUAGAACCUUACCUGGGUUUGACAUGGAUCGGGAGCGCUCAGAGAUGGGUGUGCCUCUUUUGGGGUCGGUUCACAGGUGGUGCAUGGCUGUCGUCAGCUCGUGUCGUGAGAUGUUGGGUUAAGUCCCGCAACGAGCGCAACCCUUGUUCACUGUUGCCAGCACGUUAUGGUGGGGACUCAGUGGAGACCGCCGGGGUCAACUCGGAGGAAGGUGGGGAUGACGUCAAGUCAUCAUGCCCCUUAUGUCCAGGGCUUCACGCAUGCUACAAUGGCUGGUACAGAGAGUGGCGAGCCUGUGAGGGUGAGCGAAUCUCGGAAAGCCGGUCUCAGUUCGGAUUGGGGUCUGCAACUCGACCUCACGAAGUCGGAGUCGCUAGUAAUCGCAGAUCAGCAACGCUGCGGUGAAUACGUUCCCGGG